rnacentral:lncRNA from 1 species
CAAUCCUCUCGAUUAAUACAUGGGAGGAUCAGAAUCAGAGGGGCAUUAAGGAUCAAGCCUUGGGGGCUUGGAGAGUGCAGAAGAAAAAAAUGAAAGUGACAGCAAGCUGGACCUGUUUUACCUGAGGGGGUGAGCUCUGGAACUUCUGGUCCAUUAAAUCGAAAAGGGCCUUUAAGUCUGUGUUCUGCCAGAGAAAACUGUUCAAACUCCGCACCUUUUUUAGAGAUCAGACUCCAAGAGGUUUUUAAAAGUAUUUUUUGAAAGGGGGAAUUUAAUAUUUUCUCUAAGAAUUGAGGAUCUUUAUCAUCAACCAAUUCGUCUUUUAAUUUGAUCAUUUAUAAAGUAAUGAGACAGCUGUCUAAAUUUGGUUUGUGCCUUAAUUGAGUUGGUCCUUGAACUUUCAAAAAUGUUACUGCCCGAAGAGGAAUUUUUAUAACCAGCUUAAAAAAAAAAAAAGUACGUCUUUUAUAAAAAUUGAAAAACUCAAAAGUCAUUUUUCUCUAAACACUGUGGGCAGUGUAGAAAGUUUAGCUGUGGAAAAAAUACAUCAUUAUUUUCUUUAUCUGAAAUAGAAGACUCGGCCUGGAUUUCAAAAUUGAAGGGUGAAGUGGUUUGCAACAGUUACCUGGCUCUUGGCCACAAUCCAGCUGGAUCAAGCAGAGACUUGAAAAGAGAUCUUGAAUCCGGUGGCAGUGAAAGACCCAAGAAUGCCAGUGAAGAAGAAAGGUGGGCUAUGAGGUUCCUAUAUAAUAUAUGAAUCUCCCUUUUCUUGGUUCUGGUAUUUGUAAUUAAAAUCAUAUUCCAUUGGAGAGUAAAAUUUUGACUGGAUUUGAGAAAUUAUUACAAUAAUAUCUUUUCAGUAGCACAUCAUUUAGUAAGUUUUUUUGCUAUAGCAAAAGGAAGUAAGACUAUCAUAUUUAGUUAUAGACAUUAUGAUUUCAUAAAUCAGGCUGUCUGGAUUACCAUUUGUAAUAAGAAUAAAAUGAUUUGUGAUCUUCUUUAGCUUGUUUUCUUAGAUCAUCAAACUUACUUUUAAACAAUCUUUAAAAAAAGGAACAUGUAGAGUGUAGCUCUUCACCAUGAACUUAAUAUUUAUUGAGAUAAUUAUAGUUGUAAAAGAUAGUAAUUUUAUUUUCACUGGAAAACUUAUUGCUUUUUCAUUUAUUUUUUAAAAUAGAUUUCAUAUUUGUUCAUUCUGUCACUUUUGUGAUAAAGCAAAACUUUGGUAACUUGCACAACUUUGGUAACUUGACUCAGGCAUUAUUUAAUAGCAUAGUUGACAAUUUCCUCAAAUGAGGCGCACACCUGUAUUUUUCUCCCCUUUAAUAGUUUUUUAUACUCUUGAGUUGAUCAAGAUCUAGUUGGUUCCUGAAGCAUAGUUUAUUAUAUGUCAGGCCUUGGGGAUUCAAUUAGCCUAGAUCUACCUCAGGUUAACUUUAUUCCAAAGUAGUCUAGUGAAGCUGUUUUUUCUUUUUCUUUUUUUUUUUUUUUAACUUGAUGCAGAAGAUAGUAUUAAUUAAAAAGAGUUUAUAGAAAGUUUUGAAUAAAAAUUUAUAUCAACACUAUUGAAUUUUACUCUCUUGGGCUAACAUGGAUCCAAAUGUAUAAUUAUAUGAAUUGCUACAAUAUGAAACUAAAGCCUCAACUGUAAGUUAAAGCACAGCCUGGCUCUGCAUGGUGUUUAAUGCUUCUACCUUUGGAUAUGGAAGAUUCAUUGAGAAAAAUUGUAACCUCUGGGAUGCUUUUAUCCAAGCUGGUAUGUGAGAGAGGGACAGUGAUAUAUAAAACCUUUGAAACACAGCUGUGCUUUUUUGCACACUAGGAUAUAAAACUAGUGUUGUUUUCUUCCCCCAGUUCUUCCCUGUAGUCACUGAGAGAAAUAAACUCUCUUUUGGAUUUUGGAGCCACACCUGUUUAAAUCUGACACGGUUGGUUUAUCUGGAAUAAGAAUGGUUUUAGGAAUGUAGGCAAUAAACAAUAUGGCUAUUUGAUUUAUUUACUCAUUGUGUGUUGUUACUGUUUGUACCAUUUCUCUAGACAGUCUUGUUGGACAACUUUGAUAUUUUGGACUAAAAGUUAAACACUGUGUGUGUGUGUGUGUGUGUGUGUGUGUGUGUUGGGGAGAAAGAGGAAGGAGAAACUGGGAAGGGGAAAAGAGAAGGAAGAGAGGGAAGAGAGCAAGAGAAAGGGAUAAAAAGGUAUGUGGAGGAAGCCCAAUGAAUAUUUUCAGUAUAAAUUAAGCUAAAGGCUGAUCUUACAUUUCUAAAACCAAUAGAACAAGUUUCUUAAAAGUUUCCACAUUUAAAGGAACUCCUACAGAAAUUGCUGGACACAUUAUUGAAAAUUACAAUACUUUAAAAACUUCCUCUUUCCUCCUACAUUUUUCUUUCUUUCUUAAGAAUGGAUUGACAUAUAGAUCAAAAAUUUGAAGGAAUCAACAUGUUCUAUGUAGCAAAGCAAGUACAUAUUUGUGUUAUACUAAAACAUACGCAUUAUGUAAUUCAUUUUAUGAACUGAUCUAGAGAAAAAUAAGAAAUCAUUUCUUAUUUUUAAUUUCUUAAAAUUGUUUGUAUUCAGAUAUUUAUUUUUGAAGACUAUAACAAAUAGCCAAACAAAUUAUUACAUAUGUAUUACCUAUUAAUUGGCUAAUCUUACUGUCUCUACUGUUUCUAUAAUCUAAGAAAAACAAAUAUUUUAGAGUUUAACCUAAAUUUAUUCUGCAUGAAGCACUGCCAUCAUUUUGAAUAUUUUUCUCUUCAUUGUUACUUAUAGUAGAUAUAAUGGAAAAGCUAGAGUUAAUGUGAUUUUAAAUAGUAACUAUAUCCAUUGGGCCAAGUGUUUAUUCUUUGUUGAAUAUAUUCUUAUUAAAAUGUAAAGUUUUCAUAAGACAUAUUUCAUUUGGUGUUCAUUUUGUAUACUGUUUUCAAAAUUAAGAGAUUUUCUCAUUGAUAACUUGCAAUCAUGGUGGGAGGUAAAUUUCUGGGUGCUAUUCUUGACUGCUCUUGGAUAAGUUGCAACUGCUAUGCUUCAAACCUUCUGUUUUGCUUUAUUGGUAUUACUUUUUAUCUCUCCUACUUCAGCCUCCCCACAUUUUUUAUAGAUCUCAGUUUUGUCAACAGAACUCUUCAUUUUCUCUGUUACAGACUUCUCCCCCCACCUCAAUAGUUGAUUUUUAUUCACGAUUCAAUUAUCUACAGUAGUCACUUGAUUUGCUACCAACCAACCCAUUAGGACAGUCUUUGACAUAAUGCAUGAAAAUUUAGAGCUUAUCCAAAAUAAGUUGUAUUAGUAUUUUCUGAUGUGACACAAGAUCAUAGUGGGUUGUAAAAGGCUAUUUCAAUAAAUUGAAUCAAUACAAUUUUAUGUUGAAUUAACAUAAGGAAAAAAUUAUGUUCUUCCUGGUGUUUUCAAGUAGGAAGUGGGUAUUUUGAAGAUAAAAUAUUAUCUUUGAACACUGAGAGUUUUAAACAGAAUUUGUGCUUCAAUGGAAUUUUUUUAGUACAAUGCAGUUUCUUUUUUGAAGUUUUUUGUUCUUAUUGUUAUUAAAUAUAUGAAAGAAAUCAUUGCAUUUUAAUACUUUCAGAUGGAUGCUCAUUUCAUUUCUGUUUUUUUUUUUAAAUGUUCUAUUAUCUUCUUAACUGGUAUAGAAGGCUGCCUGAUGUUAUUAAUUUAUAUAACACUUUAUUUCCUUCUAAUACUUUUUUGCAACCAUUCUCAAUGAUAUUAUUGAACAUGUAUAAACAGAUUUUUACCAUGAAUUUCAAGCUAAAUAUUAUCAUUUUCAUAUUCAUUUGUUUUGAUUUUAUACCUUUUUAAAGGAAGCUGAAGAAUAUUGUGUAUUUAGAAUUCUAAAGCAUGAUUCUCUCAUAUAUCUUAUGUACUCUCUUGAAAUUGAAAUUGUUGUUUCCUGGACUCACAGGCUUUUAGUCUUUGUUUUGGGUUAACUAUAUUCUUCAUAAAAGUGUUAUUUUUGUUUUUCUUUUUUAUCUCCCAGAAAGAGAACUUAGAACUAUUUUGCUUAUUUCUUCUUUAAAAUUUUCUUCUUUCAUUAUUUGUUUCCAGCACCUUGUGGGUUAACUAAUUUAUUUUUUUAUAGCAUCUCACUAAUUUACAUUUACCUUUCAUUAUCUGUAUUUUCCUUCUAUCUGUAGAUUUUUUUAAGUUAAAAAAUUGUUUUUCAGAAUCAAUAAAGGGGAAAAUAUGUACCUGAAUUUAUUGACAGUUCCUGAGUGGCUAUUUUAUUUAUUUUGCAUACAUUUUAUUUAUUUUGCUGGACAUUUUACCAAAUUUGUGUUUAAACUUUCAUGUUUGCCAUACUAGUACUACAUCCAGAUACCUUUUUCAUUUUAUAAAACUUCAAUUUUUGUUUAAUUUUUUUUUCUCACAGCUAAUAAAGACAGGAGUUCCCAGAAAGGAUUGAAAAAAAUAGCUUUUCUCCCCCUUUGGUCCUUCGGAUGGAACCACUGAGACACAUCCCCAGCCCUUUUUAUAUUUUAUUUUGAGACAGGGCCUUGAUAAAUUGCUGAGGCUGGCUUUGAACUUUUGAACCUCCUACUUCAGCGUCCCUUGCUGCUGGGAUUAUAGGUGUGUGCCACUGCGCCAGGCUGAAAAAAUAGUUUUCAAAGGUUGGCAAUUUCUAUAAUUCACAGUAAAAUAAAUAACUUACUAAGGAUUUUUUUUUAGGUUUAAAAUUCCCCAAAAGGGUCAUCUUUUUUUCCUAAAGUUUUUUCAACUAUAUUAAGGAAUAAUUUAUUCGUAAUAAACUGCAUCAUUUAAAAUGUACAGUUUGAUGAAUUUGGACAAGUUUUUAUGUACCUCUGAAAUCAGCACCACAGUCAGAAUAUAGAACAUGUCUAAUACCCACCCCCACUUCUGUAUGCUCCUUUAUAAUUUCUCCCCCCAUCCUUAAUUCUCUAUUCUCUAUCUUGAUGGUUGAGAGAUUAUUGGAAAUUAUGAGGCCACAAUUAUUAUUAUUUUCUUCUCCUCCUUCUCUUCUUCUUCCUUCUUCCUUCUUCCUUUUCUUCUUCUACUAGAGAUUGAACCAUGGGUGCUUUACCACUAAGACACAUCUCCAGGCUUUUUUAAAUUUUUGAGACGGGGUCUCGCUAAGCUACUCACAGCUUCGCUAAAUUGCUGAGGCUGGUUUGGAACUUGUGAUCCUCCUCCCUCAGCUUCCUGAGUCCCUUGAUUUAUAAGUAUAUCAAUGCACUUGGUGAAGCCAUAAGUUCCAUUUCUUUUCUUUUCUUUCUUUCUUUUUUUGAUAUGGGGAAUGAACACAGGGGUGCUUGACUUGCUAUCCUCCUGCUCCAGCCUCCCCAGCCACAGGGAUUACAGGCAAGCACCACCCUGCGGGGCCAUAAAUUCUUAAUAUUGGGAAAUAUUCAUUAAUCUAGAAGGCAUAAAGAGGGAGCAUUCUGGAUAGAGAUGUAAGAGAAUAUUUUUGUGUUUAGCUACUGAUUAGGAAUAUGCUGUGUAGCAAAUCAAUAGACAUCAAAGUAAAAUGAUCUGUUAAUAGGUUUUAUUUUACACAUAUUAUGUAUUGGGAUAGUGUACAAAUGAUACACUAAGGAAUUGGUAACAGAUGUGUGAACUGUUAAGUUUUGGGAGAACUACUCAAGUGUUCCAUUCAAAAUAGAAUAUUUUAUCUCUCCUUAGGCCUGUUAUUACUUAUUUUUGGGUAGAAGAGUAUAGUCAGAAAAUAUACACAAAACAUUGAGUUUUUACAAUACCGAAUUAAGACAUUCAGUUCAUUCAUGCCUCUGUCAAUAAAUAAAUCCCUCAUUAUUAUGCAAUAUUAUAUCCCCUAAACUGCUAGAAUACUAUUCAUUCUUAAUCAUAUAUAUAUAUUCUUUUAUGCUCUUACUUUUUAGCAUUUACUGUUAUUUCAGUGAUUAUAAUUUUUUUAAGACUAAGGCUGAGAUGCAUAAUAUUUUUUUGUUGGGGGAAAGGGAUCCGUUCCCUAGCUAUGAUUUCUGCUCAGGGAUUUGUAGCGGUCAAGACUUGAGGGCUCUGUAUCCUCAAUGUAGGUUGCUGUGUCAGCAGAGGGUCAUGAGUUUUACCCAGUCUCUUCUGUCCAGUCUCUUCUGUCUUUUCUUUCUGAAUUCUAACUAGUAAGCUUUCUGCAUGGGUUCAAUUUUUAGUAAGUUACUCAAAGCUAUUUCAAGAAUUAUGGCAAGCACCUCCAUUAUGAAAUAGUUCUUCUGACCCCAUUUAUUUUAGGAUUUAAGAUCAAGAGGAAUAUGAGGUAGAAAAUCCUGUGAAAAUGAAUUAUUAAAUUUAAAUGUUCAAAGAUUAUAAUAUUUUAUAUUUCAUUUCUUCAGAAGACACUAUGUUGCUAGCCACUAACUCUGUUAUAGUGAAAUUUUGAGAUUUUAUGGGUGGGGAAGGGCUUUCAUUUUUGAGAGUUGUGACAUGUUUAUUUUCUAAAGUAUAGUAUGACUUGGAAUAAACCUGUUAUAUUCUAUUCUAUUUAGAACCCCUUAUAGGUAAUAAGCAAGCCACAGUUUUUUAAAAAGUUAAGCUUAUGUAUGUACUUAGUGUAAUAGCUUUACUUCUAUUUGUUUGUUCAAUCACUUUUCUAUCCAACAAGGAUUUAUUGAGUGCCUGUCAUGUGCCAGGCACUGUGCCAGAUGUGUGUUUUGUGGUGGCAAGUGGUAUUCGACCUCUGCCGAUUUCUAAAAUAGGGAGACAUGUGAAAAUAAACAUUUUUAAUGUUGUGAUAUUGAUAUGCUGUGUCCUAGAAACAGGCGAGGAGGACUUAAGUCCAUGUAGGGAAGAUGUGAUAGUUAAGAUGAGAUAAGAAAGAUGAGUAGAAGUUUGCCAGUCAGUGUAGGAAAUGGUAAGAUAAUUAUUUUCUUUGCCUUGAACAUAUCUUGACAUCCUAUGUCAUUUUUGUUGUCGUCAUUGUCAUCAUCGUCGUCAUCAUCAACAUCAUUAUCAUCAUCAAUAACAGUAAUAGUGUAGAAAAAACCUAGGCCAGUAGUCUGAAGACCUGGCUACUAGAAGAAGAGACAAGAUCAGAGAUGACUGAUUUGGACUUUUGGUCUAUUUUUGGUAUGUAAGAAAUAUCUAGGUUGAGAUGUAGCUCAGUGGCAGCGAACUUUGCUAGCAUGUGCAAGAGCCUGGGUUUGUUUCCUAGUACUGUGAAAAAAAAACCCAUUUAUUUUCUAUAAUUCAAAUUUAUUUAUUUUUUUUUACUUGUAGGCAUUGUUUAGUGGCUAAAAUAAUUCUAAUCCUUCUUGAGAUUUUCCCUUCUUCACUGGAAUGGGGGAGGUGAACUCUGGUCAACCAUCAUCUAUAUUUAAUAACUUACCUCUUAGAUAUGAGUUGUUUUGUCUGGAUAGUUCUUCUGGUUUGGCAGAGAUCUACUAGUUCCAAGUCACAUGCUUCUGUGUUUUUUCAAUAAUUUCUGUUUGCCUAGACUUAUUAUGAUGCCAUUUCUCUCUGGGGUCUUACUGCCUUCCAGGCAAUGCUGAUGGUAAAUUAGACUUGAUUUCUGCUGCCUUGGGAUACAAAGACCUUUUUUGUGCCUUAUGUCUCUUAUUUGGUUUUUCACCUGUGGAAAUCUCUUUUUAGACUGGCGAGAGCCUGGGGGAAGUCCCUCUGUCUUCCUAUUUGUGAGAAUCUUUCAUCUCUGUGACAAAUACUUAUUGUGAAGAUUUAUGCUUUUGGAAAGCAAAAUUGAAACAACUUAAAAAUCGCUUUUGUUUUUUGUCCUGGCAUAUACCUCCCCGAGGCAAUAAAUGCUGAAUCAAUUAUCUGCUUAACUAAGAAGAAAGGGAAUGGGAAAUUUUAGGGAGAGAAAAAAAUUACUUUUUCAAAAUGCCAAUCUCCCACAUUAAAAUAGAGUUUAUGUGCCUUCAUAUGAAAUGCUACCAGUGGACCUGCAGAAAUCAUGUAAUCCUUUGAACUCCACUUUAUUCUUUUAAAAAGAGAUUUGAUGGGGCUGGAGUUGAAGCUAGGGUUGUAGCUCAGUGGUUGAGUGCUUGCCUCGAUGAGUGCAGGAGGCACUGUGUUUGAUCCUCAGCACCACAUUAAAAAAUAAAUAAAUAAAAUAAAGAUAUUGUGUCCGUCUACAACUAAAAAAAUAUUUAAAAGAAAAAAAAUGAGAUUUGAUACCUUCCCCCCCUUACUAUGUGUUGUUCCUUUUCCUCAUCCAAUAAUACACAAGAACUUCACUUUUCCAAAGCUAGUUAGUGAUAAAAUUAGGAUGAGAAGCUUGUCCAGUGCUCUUUUGUGAAUUAUGGUGUUCUUUGAAUAAGUGAAUGCUAUCAUGGUACAACAGAGGGUUGGAAUUCAAUGUUUUACAUUAACUGGCUAAGUUAUCUAAAGAAAAUAAAAAGAUUGAACUUUAAAUUCCUCAUCUUAAACAUAAGUGUACUAAUAAUACCUCUUAGGACUAUUGUGAGGAUCAAAUAAAGUUAUCCAAUCCAUGUAAAAUCUGUUUGUAAAUGAGAAAGUGCUACACAAACACUUACCAGCAGGAUACUAUUUUGACCAGGCAUGAUGGUACACACCUCUAAUCUCAGCCACUUGGGAAGCCAAGGGAAGAGGGUCGCAAGUUCAAAGCCAGCCUCAACAAUGUAGACUCUGUCUCAAAAUAAAAAUAAAAAAGACUGAGGGUGUGGGACUGAGGUUGUAGCUCAGUGGUAGAGAGCUUGCCUUGUACCUGUGAGGCACUGGGUUCAAACUUCAACACCACAUAAAAAUAAUUGAAUAAAGAUAUUGUUUUCAUUAAAAAAAAAAAGACUGAGGGUGUAGCUUAGUGGUUAAGUUCCUCUGGGUUCAAUCCCUACCACCAAAAUUAAAAUGACAACAACAAAACAAAUGAACAACCAAACAUUUUUUGGGGGGGCAGAAUGUCUUAGAAGGAGAAAAGUGUGUUCAGAGUGUGGAUCCCCUUCCAUCAGUAGUAUGGAGUUAGCUUCCUGAUUAGCUUUUGGAGCAACUCUACCCCAAAUUGACAGUGACACAUCUAAUCCAAACAGAAAAUGUCAUAUAGUAAUAUUUGUUAUGAGUAUUAUUUCUCUUCUACAGAUACAAAAAUAAUUUGUAAACCAUCUAAUAUCUAUAAAUGGUUGUAGUCUCCAGGGUCUGCUUUAAGUCUGGACAGAAAUUUUCUCUAUUAUAUAAAUUUUUAAGUUUUAUUUACUUAUUUUUCUUUUUGUUAUAACUGGAAUGGUGCAUAUUUCAAUAUACAGCUGAGUUAAGAAUUGUAUUUAGCAAUUUUCUAUCUUCCUAUUUAUUACUCUAUAACCUUAAAUUUUCCCAUCCUUUUCUUCAACAACAUUCUAUAGAAUUAUUUCUAUAUGUUCUAUUGAAAACAUGACUUAUAAUUAAAAAUAUGACUUCUCUGAGAGAAAUAAUGUGAACCCACCAAUUCAUACUAAUAUCUUUUUGCUUCACCAGGAGAAACAGUAUGAUAAAUAGGUGUUUGUUAAAGUGUAUUAUAUUUGUUUUUGAAGGAAGCAGUAAACUAUGAUUUCUAAGGACAGUGAUAGAAAGGAGAAACACCAUGAUCCUUUCUUUUUUCUUUUUUAAAGAGAGAGUGAGAGAAUUUUUUUAAUAUUUAUUUUUUAGCUUUUGGCAGACACAACAUCUUUGUUUGUAUGUGGUGCCGAGAAUCGAACCCUGGCCACACGCAUGCCAGGCGAGCGCGCUACCGCUUGAGCCACAUCCCCAGCGCCUAUGAUCCUUUCUUAGUUAGCUAAGUUUCAAUAUAGCAUAGUACUUUAAACUAUAGGGUCUGGUACCAGAUAAACCAGAAUUUGAAUCCUGGUUCUGGUAUUUACUGGAUGUGUAGCCUUGAGAAUGUUAUAGUUUGGAUCUCAAAUGUCUCCCAAAGGCCCAUAUGCUAAAGGCUUUGUUGCCAAUUCUGGAAUUUUUAGGAAGUGAGGUCUAGUGGGAGGAAGGUAGGUAAUUGGGGACAUGACCUUAAAUGGAAUAUAUGGUCCCAGUCCCUUGUACUUCCAAGUGAUCAUGAGAUGAACAGAUUUUCUCCAACACACAUUUCUUGCCACAGACCUAAAGCAACAGGGACAAGUGACCAUGGACUGAAACCUCUUAAAGUAUGAGCCAAAAUAAAUAUUUUCUCCUUUAAAUUGAUUUUCUCAGGCACUUUGCUAUAGCAAUGUAAAAGCUGACUAACACAGGUAAAUUACUUAAUUUCACUUGGAGUAAAGUUUCCUCAUUUGCAAAAUCUAUCUAAUAGUGUUUCUCAGGAAUUUGUGAAGAUUAAAUAAGAUAAUCUAUGCAGAAUUCUUAGCCUUGUUUAACAAAUCCUAGCUAGUAUUAUUAAUAAUAAAAUGACACCUUUGGUGUGUCAUCAUGAACUGUAAAUUUUAAUAUUAAAACUUCUUUUUAAAGCCUAAUGCAAGGGUAACUUUUAUAUGCAUAUUUAUUAUUGAUUAUUUUCAUAUGAAUAUCCUUAAUUUUCAAUAUAACAAAAACAGUAAGACUAACAAUAAGAAUUAAGCACUUAUAAAUAUUUCAUAAUAUAUUUAUUCUCUUGUUGGGUGUAUUGGCACACCCCUGUAAUCCCAGCUACUAAGGAGGCUGAGGCAGAGGGACCAUUAAUUUGAGGCCAACCUGGGCAACUUAGUGAAACCCUGUCUCACAAUAAAAAAUAAAAAAUGGGUAAUGUCCCUAGGUUCAAUUCUCAUUAGCAAAAAAAAGUAUUUAAAUUUCCUAGUCAUGUCUAAUAAGUAAUGAUAAAAAUGGUGACUAUUCAGUGUUGCAUAUAUUGAUAUAUAAGGGAGGAAAAUUUAAUCAUUAUUGCUUGUUUUAAUAGAUAUAUAGCACAUUAUAGUUAAAAAUCUUUCUAAAACUGUAAAGUGGGCAUGCUCCCCUUCAUUUAAAAAUCUUUCAUGGCUUGUCAUUCCUCCUUGGGUAUAAGGUCAAACUUAUUAACAUGAUGUGUAUGGUGUCAACUUCUGUUUCCAUGGCAUCUUGAAUACCCUGAUAGUAUUAUUAUACUCUGAUCUUUUACUUUGUUUACCUAUUCUAUUGAAUUAUCUUUACUUUCAAACUAAAAUCUCUGUGAGAUUUGACUCUUACCUAUCUUGUUCAGUAUUGAAUUUCCAGUUUACAAUGUCUAAAACAUAGUAAGGUACUUAAUAUAUUUGAUUAAUGAAUGAAAGAACUUUUCUGUAUUAGACUUAUAAUGGCAUAAUCAUUUUUAUUUAUAUGCCUUUAAUACAAUUAUUAUUAUAAUAAACACAUGUAAAAACCAGUGAGUCAGUCAAGUGCUGUGGCACAUUUAUAAUCCCAGCGAUUUUGGAGACGGAGAUAGGAGGACUGUAAAUUCAAGGCUAACCUCAGCAAUUUAUCAAGAUCUGUCUUAAAGUAAAAAAUACAAAGGGCUGGAGAUGUAGCUCAGUGAUAAGAGCCCUUAGGUUCAAUCCAUAGUGUGUGUGUGUGUGUGUGUGUGUGUAUGAUUCAACAUUUCAAUAUUUAACCUUAUAUUCUGAAGUUUGAUUAUACAAGUCAAGUCUGAUUUGUCAAGCUUUAUUUUUCCUGUUGAAAUAUGCUUCUUCCUUCCCUUCCUCCCCCUCCUCCUCCUCCUCCUCUUCCUCCUCCUCCACUAAGAUCUUCUUCUUCAGAGUAUUGUGGAGAGAGCAUGUACUUAGAAUAAGAAACAUUAGAACUAGACUCCAAAUCUAUUAUUUAGUAGCCUUGUAAUCUUGGAUCCAUGGAUUUCCGUUUCUUUCUUUCUUUUUAUUUAUUUAUGUAGAUACUGGGAAUCGAACCCCCAAGGUACUUUAUGAAUGAGCUAUAGUCCCUACUCUUUUUAUUUUUUAUUUUAAGACAGGGUCCCACUAAAUUGCUGAGGAUGACCUAGGACUAGGACAGGAUGAUCCUCCUGUCUUAAUUUCCAGAGUCGCUAGUAUUACAGGCAUGCACCACCACAUCCAGCUGAAUUUUAGUUUCAUGUAAAAUAGGCAUAUUAUAACUUCUCAAUUGUGGCAAUCAGAUAAUAAAAUACAUGUAAAUUUCUCUCUAAACUAUAAAAAUGAUGAAUACAUUUAUGUAAAGGAAUUCAUUAUUCUAAAUGCUUUGUUCUCCAAGAUUUAUUUGUAUUAAAUUUACUUUUCCUUUUCUUAUAUUUCGAUCUUAGUUUCCUGAGUAAUACCACCAUAUGGUCUAUAAUUCUUGCUUUUUUUAUCCAUAGUAAAAUGCUUUUAUGUAUUAUCCUUUUAUUCUAAAAGUUAAUUUGUUAGCACUAUUGUCAUUCACUGUUUCAAAUUUAAAUUGCCCAACUCGAAUUAUUUAUAACUUUCUGGCAAUGCUAUUCUUAAACCAAAUACAAUAGAGUUGAGCCUUAAUUAACAGACACAUGAUUACCUACAAUGCCAAUUAUAUAACAUUCACUAUAUCCAUUGGUUGCAUAUUUAAUGCAGAAAUUUCUCAUUUUAACAAAUGAUAACCCCUUUCCAUAUCCUCCUGUGCCUGUCCUCAAGAAAUUCAAAUUUAGUUUCAUUCUUUCAGUAGAUUUAGGAGUCAUGAAGGUAGAUCUUUAAUGAAGAAAAUAGAAGAGUUGAGGCCCUCCUAGCAGCUAUUCAGGAAACAACAUUCUUCAUUUAUACUUGGUUAUAUGAAUGUCAAUUAAAAUAUUAAUCCUGACUUGCAGAUAAUUACCCAAUUAUCUCAACCCAAUUUAUUAAAUUUAUGGAGAUCUGGAUAGAUAUUUUGACUUGUACAACAGGAUCCUUGUCAUCUUGCCUUUUUAAAAAUUUAUCAUAUAUUAGUUGUCUAAUUUUAGACAAGCUCAGACUUUCAUUAACCAGAAACGAGAAUUUGAGUAGAGGGAUUUAAAAGUCAUAAUGGAAUUGACACCAAGUGAUGAUUAUUAAUAAUCAAAAGAGGAAUAAAAGAGCUGGGUUCAGUGGCCCAUGCCAGUAAUCUCAGCAAUUCAGGAGGAUCUCAAGUUCAAGGCCAGUCUCUGAAACUUAGAAAAAAUCUCUGAAAAAAAAAAAAAAGGCAACAGCAGAAGCAGGAGAAAAUAGAGAAAUCUCCAAUUUUAAAAUAAGAUAUGUUAAUAAAGGUUAAAGGUUGGUGGCAUGAACAUAGACACAUAGAGUAUAUUUGUACACCUGGUAUGUGAAGCCUAAGUUUAUCUAAGAGAUCAAUCAUAUUUGACCAUUUGUUUUUUCUUAUAUUGUGGCAUUUUGUUUUAUGUGUCAAAUUUUUCACACAUAUGGAUGAGAGGCAUAAUAAGCUUUGCUGGUUUGGAAAACAUUUAUCUGUUUUGAAUUAAUACAGUAUUUCCCCUGUGUAGUUACUUAAUAAACAAAUGUGAAUGAAUUAAAAUCUUCUCAUUUAGCAAAUUAUAUUGUGUGAUUAUGGGAAUGUCAUUAAUACAUCUUUCAAAAUUGCUCUAACUAUAUAUAAAAAUGCAACAGAAGUGAUAAAAAUAGCUUCAAAAUUAUGAUGGGAGAGAAAAGACUAAAGCUUUAAGCACUAAUUAUGGGAUUAGAGCCCUCUCAUACAUUAAAGUGCAGAGGAAGGUAUAGUGUAGUUAUGGCAUUGUUGAUAUUCACAUUAGUAAGUACUGGGUAGGAAUGUGUUAGAAAAUUAGGUCUGUAAACUACUAUUAUUUCAGAGAAAUGGCUGAAUGUUUAGUUAUUGAAAAAGUAGGGGUUAAAAUAUUUGUCCCUGAUUUAGAAUUGUUAAAAAUAUUAUAUAGGUAAAGUCUGAAAAUAUUUUUUAAAAUAAAAGUUCUGUACCAAUAUAUUACCAUAUAGUCAUGCCACCAACCUUUAUUAAUGUAUCUUAUUUUAAAAUUGUGGACAGUUCCCUGUUCAACCAUACAUUAAAGUCUAAAAAUUGUACAAAUUAAAUGGGUACCAUGUUAUGAUUUAUUACAUGUAUAUACCACAUACUCUUUGAAUGAGUUUAGGCAUAUUUAUCUGCUCAAAAGUUCAUACUUUCUUUAUGAUAAAACUGUCAAAAGCCAGCUUUUUGAAAUGCAUGGUACAUUAUUGUUACCUGUGUACCCUAUUGUCAACAUCACACCAGAACACAUUACUCCUGCCUAAAUGUAAUUCAGUAUCCAUUGAACAUUUUCAUAACCCUACUCUCUCUGGCCUCUGGUAUCACCAUUCUUUUCUCAGCUUCUAUGAGAUCAGCUUUUUAGAUUCACGUAUGAGUAACAUCCUGUGAUUCUUGUCUUUCUGUGUCUGGCUUAUUUCAAUUCGUACAAUGACUUUCAGUUGAAACAAUGUUGGUGCAAAUGAGAGAAUUUCUUUCUUUUUAUGGCUGAAUAGUAUUUCAUUAUAUAUAUGUACUACAUUUUAUCCAGUGAUAAGCUGAUGGACUGUUAGGUUGUUUUCUUUUUCUAGGUAUUUUGAAUAGUAAUACAAGGAAUAUGUGAGUGUAUAUCUUUCUUCAAGUCCAAAAUUAUUGAAAGGAAAGAAAGACUAAAGACCAGAACAGAAAUAUAUGAAAUGGAUACUAAAAAGAUAAUACAAAAAAAAAUCAUUGAAACAAAGAGUCAGUUCUUUGAAAAUAUAAGCAAAAUAGACAAACCUUUAGAUAGACUAACUAGUAAAGACUAAUUUCAUUUCCUUUGGGCAUAUAUACCGUGUAGUGGGAUUGCUAGAUUUCCUUUUAUUUUCUGUGCUUUGAGUUUUUUUUCCAAAAAAUAUUCUUGCAUAUUUGAAGUGUUUCUCUAUAUUUUAUGCUAGUAGUUUUAUAAUUUCAGGUCUUACAUUUAAAUAUUAAAUCCAUUUUGAAUUGACUUUUGUAACUGGAAAAAGGGUCUAGUUUAAUUCUUGUGCAUGUGGAUAUUUGGUUUUCCCAGCAUCACUUAUUGAAAAGACUGUCUUUUCUCCAAUGUGUGUUCUUAGUAACUUUUUAAAAAAUCACUUGACUGGAGAUACAUGAAUUUAUUUCUAGGCUCUCUAUUCAGUCCCAUUGCUUAGUAUGUCUGUUUUUUAUACUGAUACCACAUGGUUUUGAUUAUUACAGCUUUACGGUAUGUUUUGAAGUCAGAUAGUGUAAAGCCUUCUGCUUUGCUCUUUUUGCUCAAGAUGGCUUUGGCUAUUAAGUUUGUGUGUUGGCUAUUCAGUUUGUGUGUGUGUGUGUGUGUGUGUGUGUGUGUGUGUGAUUUCAUAUAAAUCCAAAUCAACAAUUUUUUAAAGUUCUGUGAAGAAUGUCAUUUUGCCUUUUGAUAGGGAUUGCAUUGAAUCUGUAGAUUGCUUUGGGUACUAUGUAGACUUUAAUGAUAUUUAUUCUUCUAAUCCAUGAACACAGGAUGUCUUUCCACCUUUUGGUUGUCUCUUCAAUUUCUUUUGGUGGUAUUUUAUUGUUUUCAUUAUAGAGAUUUUUUAACCUUUUUUGGUUAAUUUUUCUUAGGUGUUUUAUUUUUGAAGCUAUUGUAAGUGAAAUUGCUUCUUGAUUUCUAUUUUAGGUAAUUAACUAUUGGCAUAUAGCAUGCUACUGCUUUUUGUAUGUUGAUUUAAUAUCCUGCAACAUUGAUGAAUUCAUUUAUUAGAUCUAAAUAGUUUUUUGGGGAGGUUUUGGGGGUUUUCUUCAUAUAAGAUCAUGUCAUUUGCAAACUGUGGCAACUUGGCCUUUUCUUUUCCAAUUUGGGUGCCUUUUAUUUUUUCUCUUGCCUGAUUCCUCUGGCUAGGACUUCUAGUAUAACGUUGAAUAAUUAGUGGCAAAAGUGAGCAUCCUUGUCUUGACCAGAAAAGAAAGACCAGAAAAGAAACAAAUGCAAUGGAAACUAAAAAGAUAAUAUAAAAAAUCACUAAAAUGAAGAACUGGCUCUUUGAAAAAAUAAACAAAAUAGACAGAGCUUAGAAAGUGUUCAGCAUUUCCCCAUUUGCAUAGUGUUAGCUAUUGACUUACAAAUGGAUUUUACUUUAUUAUGAUACAUUCCUUAUAUAUCUGAUUUGUUCAGCAUUUGCAUGAUGAAGAAUGUUGAAUUUUAUCAAAUGUUUUUACCUCUUCUAUUUAGAUGAUUAUGUACGUUUUGUCCGUCAUUCUGUUGAAGUGUUGUAUCAUGUUUAAUGAUUUGCAUAUAUCAAACCAUCUUCACCCAUUUGGUCAUGGCAAAUAAGCUUUUUAAUGUUCUGUUGGAGUAGGUUUGCUAGUGUUUUGUUGAGGAUUUUUAUAUCUGUGUUCUUCAAGGAUAUUGGCUUGUAGUUUUCUUUUUUUCAUGUAUGUGGGUCCUUAUCUGGUUUUGAUAUUAGGGAAAUGCUGGCCUCAUAGAAUGUGUUUGGAAGAAUUCCUUCCUCUUCUAUAUUUUGGAAUAACUUAAGGAGAAUUGAUGUUAAUUCAUCUUUAAAAGUUUGAAAUAAUUCAGUGGUGAAGGCAUUUUGUCCUGGCAAAAGGCAUUUAAUUACUAAUUCAAUCUCAUCACUUGUUAUGGGUCUAUUUAGGUUUAUUAUUUCUUAAUGGUUUGGUCUUUUUAAGGUGUAUGUAUCAAAGAAAUGAUACAUUUCUUCCAUAUCAUCAAAGUUGUUGGGUGAUAAUUAUUCAUAAUAAUCACUAAAGAUCUUUUGUAUUUCUGUGGUGUUAGUUUUAAUAUCUCCCUUUUCAUCUCCAAUUUUCUUUAUCAGGUUCUUUAUUAGAUAGUCUAGCUAAGGGUUUGUUUAUUUUGUUUAUUUUUUCAAAGAGUCAGCUCUCAUUUUAGUGUUCUUUUGUAUUAUCUUUUUAGUUUCCAUUGCAUUUGUUUCUUUCCUGGUCUUUAUUGUUGCUUUUCUUUAACUAAAUUUGGACUUGGUUUGCUAUUGUUUUUCCAGCUCCUUGAGAUAUAGCAAUAUGUUGUUUAUUUGAGAUUUUUCUAUUUUUUUUAUGUGGGCCUUGAUUGCUCUGUACUGUCCUUUUAAUACUGCUUUGGCUGUAUCCCAUAUGUAUUAGUAUGUUGUGCCUCCCUAUUUCUUUUAAAAUUUAGCAUUUUUAAAAUUUGUCCUCAGUACCACAUACAAACAAAGAUGUUGUGUCCGCUGAAAACUGAAAAAUAAAUAUUAAAAAAAAAUUUGUUCUAGUUAUAUGUGACAGCAGAAUGCAUUUUGACACAUCAUACAUAGAUGGAAUAUAACUUCUCAUUCUUCUGGUUGUACAUGAUGUAGGGUUAUAUUGGUUGUGUAAUCAUUUAUGCACAUAGGGCAAUAAUGUCCAAUUCAUUCUACUAUCAUUCCUAUCCCCAUACCCUUCCUGUCUAUCACUCCCCUCUAACACAAAGUACCUUACUUUUCCCUAGCCCCUCUCCUUGUGAAUUAGCAUCCACAUAUCAGAGAAAAUAUUUAGCCUUUGCUUCUUUAAGAUUGGCUUAUUUCACUUAGCAUGAUAAUCUCCAUUUCCAUCCAUUUACCAGCAAAUGUCAUCAAGUCAUUCUUCUUUAUGGCUAAGUAAUACUCCAUUGUGUUUGUAUCUGUGUGUGUGUGUGUGUGUGUGUGUAUCUCACAAUUUCUUUAACCAUUCAUCUGUUGAAGGACAUUUAGGCUGGUUCCAUAGUUUAGCUAUUGUAAAUUGAGCUUCUGUAAACAUUGAUGUGGCUGCGUCACUGUAGUAUGCUUAUUUUAAGUCCUUUGGGUAUAGACUGAGGAAUGGGAUAACUAAGUCAAAUAGUGGUUCUAUUCCAAAAUUUCUGAGGAAUCUUCAUACUUCUUUCCAGAGAAGUUGCACCAAUUUGUUAUCCCACCAGCAAUAUAUAAAUAUACCUUUCCCCCCACCUCCUUGCCAACAUUUUUUGUUGCUUGUAUUCUUGAUAAUCACCAUUCUGACUGGAGUGAGAUGAAAUCUAAGGGUAGUUUUGACUUGCGUUUCUCUAAUUGCUAGAGAUCUUAAACAUUUUUUCAUAUAUUUGUUGAUCAGUUACAUUUCUUCUGUGAAGUGUCUGUUCGGUUCCUUAGCCCUUUAUUGAUUGGGUUAUUUGUGUUUUUGGUGUUAAGUUUUUUGAGUUCUUUAUAUAUUCUGGAGAUUAAUGCUGUAUCUGAGGUGCAGGUGGCACAGAUUUUUCUCCCAUUCUCUAGGCUCUCUGGUCAUGUUCUUGAUUGUUUCCUUUGCUGUGAAGAAGCUUUUUAGCUUAAUACCAUCCUAUUUAUUGAUUCUUGAUUUUAUUUCUUGCAUUUUAUGAGUCUUAUUGAGGAAGUCAGUUCCUAAGUUGACAUGAUAGAGAGUUGAGUCUACUUUUCCUUCUAUUAGGCGCAGGUUCUCUGUUAUAGUGUGUAAGUCCUUAGUCCACUUUAAGUUGAUUUUUGUGCAGGGUGAAAGAUAGGGGUUUAAUUUCAUUUUGCUGCAUAUGUAUUUCCAGUUUUCCAAGCACUAUUAGUUGAAGAGGCUAUCUUUUCUCCAAUGUAUGUUUUUGGCAUCUUUGUUUACUAUGAGAUAACUGUAUUUAUGCGGGUUUGUCUCUGUAUUCUCUUUCCUACAUGUCGGUUUUUGUGUGGAUACCAUGCUGUUUUUGUGAAUAUGCCUCUGUUCUGUAAUUUAAGGUCUGCUGUUGUGAUUCCUCCUGUUUCCUUUUCUUUCUAAGGAUUGCUUUGGGUAUUCUAGGUCUCUUAUAUUUCCAAAUGAUUUUCAUGAUUGUCUUUUCUGUUUCUAUGAAGAAUGUCAUUGGGAUUUUAAUAGGAAUUGCAUUAAAUCUGUAUAGUGCUUUUGGUAGUAUGGCCAUUUUGACAAUAUUAAUUCUGCCUAUCCAUGAGCAUGGGAGCUCUUUCCAUCUUCUAAGGUCUUCUUCAAUUUCUUUCUUUAGUGUUCUGUUGUUUUCAUUGUAGAGGUCUUUCACUUCUUUUGUUAGAUUGAUUCCCAAGUGCUUUAGUUUUUUUGAGCCUAUUGUGAAUGGGGUAGUUUUACUAAUUUUUUAUUCAGUGGAUUCAUCACUGAUGUAUAGGAACAUGUUUGAUGUUGGGUGUUGGUUUUAUAUCCUGCUACUUUGCUGAAUUCAUAUAUGAGUUUUAGAAGUUUUCUGUUAGAAUUUUUUGGAUCCUCUAUGUAUAGGAUCAUGUCAAAAGUGAUAGUUUGAGUUCUUCUUUUCCUAUUUAUAGUCCUUUAAUUUCUUUCUUAUGCCUAAUUGCUCUGGCUAGAGUUUCAAGGACGAUGUUGAAUAGAAGUGGUGAAAGAGGGCAUCCUUGUCUUGUUCCAGUUUUUAGAGGGAAUGCUUUCAAUUUUUCUUCAUUUAGAAUGAUGUUGGCUUUGGUCUUAGCUUAGAUAGCUUUUACCAUGUUGAGGUAUGUUCCUACUAUUCUUAGUUUUUCUAGUAUUUUUAAUAUGAAGUGGUGCUGUAUUUUGUCAAGUGCUUUUUUUCAGCAUCUAUUGAGGUGAUCAUAUGAUUCUUGUCUUUAAGUCUAUUGAUGUGAUGAAUUACAUUUAUUGAUUUCUAUAUGCUGAUCCAACCUGCAUCCCUGAGAUGAACCCCACUUGAUCAUGGUGCACUAUCUUUUAAUGUUUUUGUAUGUAAUUUGCCAGAAUUUUAUUGAGAAUUUUUGCAUCUGUGUUCAUCAGUGAUAUUGGUCUGAAGUUUUCUUUCCUUGAUGCGUCUUUGUCUGGUUUUGGUAUCAGAGUGAUACUAGCCUCAUAGAAUGAGUUUGGAAUGGUUCUAUCCUUUUCUAUUUCAUGGAAUAAUUUGAGGAGUAUUGGCAUUAAUUCUUCUUUGAAGUUCUUGUAGAACUUGGCUGAGAAUCUGUCUGGUCCUGGGAUUUUCUUGACUUGUAGGAUUAUGACAGUGUCUUCUAUUUGAUUGCUUGUAACUGAUCUGUUAAAGUCAUGUAAGUCCUCUGGAUUCAGUUUGGGUAGGUCAUAUGUCUCUAGAAAUUUUUUGAUGUCUUCAAAAUUUUCUAUUUUAUUGGAGUAUAAAUUUUCAAAAUUGUUUUUGAUUAUCUUCUGUAUUUCAGUAGUGUCCAUCAUGGUAUUUCCCUUUUCAUCAUGAAUUUUAGUAAUUUGAAUUUUCUCUCUCUUUUCAUUAGCAUGGCAAAAGGUUUAUCAGUUUUAUUUAUUUUUUCAAAGAGCCAAUUUUUUGUUUUGUCAAUUUUCUGAAGUGUUUCUUUUGUUUCAAUUUCAUUGAUUUCAGCUCUAAUUUUAAUGAUUUCCUGUCUUCUACUGCUUUUGGUGUUUAUUUGUUCUUUUUCUAGGGAUUUGAAAUAUAAUGCUAGGUCAUUUGUUCAUCGACUUUCUAUUUUUUUAUAAAUAUUUUUAGUUGUAGAUGGACACAGUACCUUUAUUUUAUUUAUUUAUUUUUAUGUGGUGCUGAGGAUUGAACCCAGGGCCUCACAUGUGCCAAGCAAGCGCUCUGCCACUGAGCUACAGCCCCAGCUCAACUUUCUAUUCUUUUAAUGAAAGAGCUCAAUGCAUUGAAUUUUGCUCUUAGCACUGCCUUCAUAGCGUCCCAGAGAUUUUUUAAAAAAAAUAUUUAUUGUUUAGUUGUAGUUGGACACAAUACCUUUAUUUAUUUAUUUUUAUGUGGUGCUGAGGAUCGAACCCAGGGCCCCACACAUGCUAGGCAAGUACUUUACCGCUGAGCCACAACCGCAGCCCCAUCCCAGAGGUUUUGAUAUGUUGUAUAGGUGUUCUCAUCUACUUCUAAGUAUUUUUUAAAUUUCAUCUAUGAUUUCUUCUGCUAUUCAUUUCUCAUUAAAUAACAUAUUAUUUAGUCUCCAGGUGUUGGAGUAGCUUCUAUUUUUUAUUUUACUGUUGAUUUCUAAUUUCAUUCUAUCAUGAUAUGAUAGAAUGAAGGGUAAGGGUAGUAUCUCUAUUUUUUGUAAUUGGUAAGAGUUGCUUUGUGGCAUAAGGUAUGGUCUAUUUUAGAAAAGGAUCCAUGUGCUACUUAGAAGAAAGUUUAUUUGCUUGUUGAUGGAUAAAAUAUUCUGUAUGUCUGUUCAGUCUAAAUUAUUGAUUAUAUUAUUUAGUUUAUGUUUGGAAAUCUGUCCAGUAGUGAGAGAGGUGUGUUAAAGUUACCCAUUAUUAUUGUGUUGUGGUCUAUUUGAUUUUUGAAUUUGAGGAGGUUUUUUUUUUUUUUUUUUUUUUUUGGUGGAUGUAGAUGCUCCAUUGUUUGGGGCAUAAAUAUUUUUGAUUUUUAUGUCUUGUUGAUAUAUAAUUCCCUUGAGCAGUAUGAAAUGUCCUUCUUUGUCCCUUCUGACUAACUUUGGCUUGAAGUCUACUUUAUCUGAUACGAAGAUGGAAACCCCUGCUUGUUUUCUUAACCCAUGUGAGUGAUAUGUUCUUUCCUAUCCUUUCACCAUCAGUUUGUGGAUGUCUUUGCCUAUGAGGUGAGUCUCUUGGAGACAACAUAUUGUUGGGUUUUGUUUUUACAUCUAAUCUGCCAGUCUAUGUCUUUUGAUUGAUGAAUUUAGGCCAUUAAUGUUCAAGGUUAUAAUUGAGAUAUAAUUUAUAUUCUCAUUCAUUUUUAUUUAUUUCUGGUUUUUAAUUUGACUUAGUUUCUCCUUAGAUUGACUAUUCCUUUAGUAUAGUUCCUCUACACUUUGCUGGUUUUCACUUUUUUUUUUUUCUCAUUUCAUCUUCAUGGAAUGUUUUGUUGAGAAUGUUCUGUAGUACAGGCUUUCUAGUUGCAGAUUCUUUUAACUUUUGUUUAUCAUGGAAGGUUUUUAUUUCAUCUUCAAAUCUGAAGCUUAUUUGCUGGUUAUAAAAUUCUUGUUUGGCAUCCAUUUUUUUUUUUUUCAGAGCUUGGUAUAUGUUGUUUCAGGACCUCCCAGCAUUGAGGGUCUGGAUUGAAAAGUCAACUGAGAUCUGAAUUGCUUUCCCCUAUAUGUAAUCUGCUACUUUUCUCUUGUGGCCUUUCAAAUUCUAUCCUUAUUUUGCUUUUUAGGCAUUUUCAUUAUAAUGUGGCUUGAUGUGGGUCUGUUGUAAUUUUAUACAUUUGGGGUCCUGUAAGCCUCUUGUAUUUGAUUUUCCAGUACAUUUUAUGUGUGUGUGUAGAGGUUAAGUGAGUUUCUUGUGAGAAACAUAGAGUUGGUUCUUGUUUUUUUAAAUUCAUUCACUCACUGUGUGUCUUUUAACUGGAGAAUUUAGUUCGUUACAUUCAAGGUUAUUUCUGAUAGGUAAGAUAUUACUUUCUUUCUUUCUUUUUUUUUUUUUUUUGUACCAGGGAUUGAACCUCAGGAGUACUGGACCACUGAGCCACAUCCCCAGCCCUAUUUAGAAUUUUAUUUAGAGACAGGGUCUCCCUGGGUUAUUUAGCAGCUUUUAGUUGCUGAAGCUGGCUUUGAAUUCAUGAUUCUCCUGUCUCAGCCUCCCAAAAUACUGAGAUUACAGGUGUGUGCUACCAUCUGGCUUUAUUAUUCUUCCUUUAUGUUAAGUGAAUUGCUUUAGUAGUAUGUUUUGGUUCUUUGUCUUUUUUCUUUUUUAAAGAAUAUCUUUUUUAAAAAAUAUUAUUUUGGUUGUCAAUGAACUUUUAUUUUAUUUAUAUAUAUGCAAUGCUGAAAAUAUAACCCAGUGCCGCACACUUGCUAGGCAAGUGCUCUAUCACUGAGCUACAACCCCACUGCCUAGCGUGUUUUGAUUCUUACUAGUAGCCUAGUUCAGUGACUGUCUGCCUACUAGUGGCUGGGAAUGGGCCAUCUGUCCACAUAAGAAAUAGACAAAAGAUGGAAAUAAUUAAUUGUGAACUUUAUGUAGUUUUUUCAAGUUGGGAAGAAACAAUUUAGCUGCUUUCUCUCUACCCAUGCUGCCCUAUACAGAAUCAGUUACAACUUAUGUGGACACAAAAACCAUGUGAUAUACAUAUUUAGAUUUAGUUGGUCCAAGGAAGGGCAACAUGGGAAAAAAAAAAGACAGGAAACAAAUACAUGCAGAUUUAGUUAUUCUGUGUUAGGAUGGGGGCAGGGGUCCCAUUUUUCCUCUCCAGCUUCUUUGGCACCUUUCUCAGAAGGAGGAAUUUUGUUCUUAAUUCAAAGUCCCCAAGUUCAUGUUUUAAUUCCCUGCUCAUUAUUUAUGAUAUUUGUUUGUUUGUUUGUUUCUUUCUUUCUUUCUUACAAGAUAGUGUUUAUUUUAGUGACAAUAUGAAGGCAAAAGUGAAAGCAAAUGUGAAAGGCAAGACAGAGAAGAGAAUACAUCACCAGAUUGGGUGGGGGGCUAACACCAACACCUGAAGUCAUGUAGCUGGGAAGUUGGUGUUUCUAUUAUAUAUUUUUGCUCUGAGGUUACCAUUAGUUGUACAAAAUAUAUAUUUUGGUUAUAACAAGUUAUUUUGAAAUGAUAGCAACUCAAAAUAAUUGCAAUGAUAAAAAUAGAAAUAAUCAAAUAAAAGAAUGAGAGGGCUGAGGCUAUGGCUCAGUGGUAAAGCACUUGCCUAGCAUGUGUGUGUGAGGCACUGGGUUUGAUCCUUUGCACCACAUAUAAAUAAAUGAAUAAGAUAAAGGUCCAUCAACAUCUAAAACAGAAUUUUAAAAAAUGCGAGAAUAUACACUAAUAAAAAACUCCACUUUACACUCUAUUCCUCCCACAUUUUGAAUUUUUGAUAUUUCAUCUUAUAUCUUUCUGUAUUGUGUAUAUCUUAAUGUAUUUAUUUUUCAUUAUUUUUGUUUUGACUUUAGUUUUCAUACUAAAUAUAUGACUGGUUUUUGCACCACAUUUACAAUAUUAGAACAUUUCAGCCAUGUGUGGUGGUGCAUGCCUGCAAUAACAGUGAUCUAGGGGACUGAGACAAGAGUUUCACAAAUUUGAGGCCAGCCUUAGCAACUUAGUGAGAUCAUUAGCAACUUAGAUCCUCAAAAUAAAAAGGAGUGGGGAUGUAGCUCAGUGGUAAAGUGCCCUUGGAUUCAAUACCUAAUAAUGUGAAAACAGACAAAAAACAAAUCAAAAAACCCAGAAAAAACAAAAGCAAAUCAAUAAGCAACAACAAAAGCAAACCCUAAAACCCAAACCGAAGCAAACAAGACAAUCUUAGAGUAUUCUGAAUUUGUAUAAUUUUUUUUAUACAAAUGUUUAAAAAAUGUUUUCUUCUUAUUUUUUACCAUCUCUUUCUUUCAGUUUGAAGAACUCUAUUAGCAUUUCUUGUAGGUCUGGUGGAGAUAUAUUCUCUCAGCUUUUGUUUGUUCAGGACUGUCUUUAUCCCUCCUUCGUUUUUAAGAUAGCUUUGCUGGGCACAGUAUUCUUGAUUGAUAGAUUUUUUCCCCCAAUAAGUAUUGUGAAAAUCUCAGACUACUCUAUCCUAGCCUAGGAGGUUUCUGCUGAGAUGUCAGGUCUGUUGUUGAUAACCAUUUAUAUUAUUUUUCUUCUCUUGCAGUCUUGAGAAUAUUCUAUCUCUCACUUUUGAGAGCUUAAUUAUGAAUAUGAAAUGUCCUAGGUAUAUAUGUGGUUGAGUUCAAUUUGGCUGGUUACCUUUGACCUUCCUGUACCUGGAUAUUUGUAUGUUUCUGUAGGUUUGGGAAGUUUUCUGUUAUUUCUUCAAAUAAGUUUUUACUGGUUUUUUUUUUUUUAUUCUAGGGUUUUCUUGAACUCAAAAAAGCUGAAUAUUCGCUCUUUUGAUACUGUUUCAAGUUCCUACCUUUCUUUUUCAAUCUUCUUCAUUCUUUCUUUGUUCUCUUCCAACUGUGCAUUUCUUUUUUAAAUAAAAUGUUUUUUAUUUUUGCUAACUAUGCAUUUUUAAAUAGCCUGGCUUUGAGCUCACUAAUUCUUUCUUCUGUAUUAUCUAUCAUGAUAGUUGAUGAUUUCUAACAUAUUUUAAAUUUUUCUGAUUAUACUUUUCAUCUCAAUAAUUUGAUUUUUAAAAAUAUUUCAUCUUUUUUGUUAAGUACCUUUGUUAGGGGUACAAUAUUGAAGUAUUUCUGUGUGUUUUCUUUAAGAGCAUUGAGUUUCCUUAAAAUAGCUCUUUUAAAUUUUCUGAGAGUUCGCUCAUACUGAAUACUACCUGGUUAUUUUCUGUCAUCUUAUUUUAAAUAUUAGGUGAGGUCAUGGUUUCCUGAAAGCUUUUGAUGAUUCUUGGCAUGUGAUAUCAUCUGGACAUCGAAGAAUUAGGUAUUUAUUCCAAUCUUUCUAAUCUGACUUUGUUUGAUCCUAUCUUUCCAGAAAAUCUAAGUAGGCUACUUGUUUUACUGUAAGCCUGUAGUUACCUCCACUAUUUCAGCAUUGGAUGGUGCUCAAGCUCACAUUUGCCAGGAGUAGCUAUUGGUAUGCCGUCACUAUUUUUGCAUUAUAGAGCAAUGCAAGCCUGGGUUUGUUCCAGAUACACUGUUGAGUUAUUGUUCAGAAAGAAAUAGGAGAGUGCCUUGAAAGAGUAAUCUGUACCUAUAAACCUCUUCCUGGAGACACGGUAGGCCCAGAUACCUUUUCCACAGUUACUUCCCUAUGGUCAGGAAGAAUUCUGCCUGGCUUUGGGCAGAACCUUUGUGGAUGAACCAACCUUAGUUCCUAUGUCAUACCUGUUGCCACCAAUGCCAUCAAGCUGUGUCAUACUUGUAGACCACAGCCUACCAAGACUACCAAGGGACUGCCUUCACCAUUCAAGGCUCCUUUGUUGAGGUGGACUCAUGGCCCAAGACUGCUUCAAUCAGCCAUAGGUGAUGCUACCCGGAAUAGAAAUCUGAUUUACUGGGGCCAUGUGUCUUCCCCUGGCAAAGGAUCACUUUCAGAGGCUCCAUUUAUAGGUAGAACUGAGAAUGCGGGCUAUUAGGUUUUGCUUAGUAUUUGAUUUCACCAACCAAGCAUUAAAGUCCAGGGUAAAGUCUUGUGCUUACUAUCCUUUCCUGUCCCCAGCAAAUAGGGUUUUGUACCACAUUAUGUUGCCUGAGGUUGAGAUAGUGUUAGUAAAGGCAGUCCCUUGGCCACCUAGGCCUCCUUAAAACCCACAAUAAGAUGGGUUGUACCUUAGCCUUAUGGUGCAAAGAUCUAUACAGUUUCAGAGGGCAGUAGGACCAGCACUGCAGCUCUUGGUGAUAAAAGCCAAUACAGGAGUCCAUCCCACCCAGCUUGGGUCUCUUUUUGGUGGUAGAGCAGUUCUAGAACCCCAUCUGGGAGUAUUGGCCUUGAGAAAGCUGUGCUGCACAAGAUUGAAGGAUGGGUGAUAGAGACAGUUCUUUUAUCACCAAGGCUAAUGCUAAGCUGUGUCACACCUGAGUCUCACAGUUGCAGGGAUCUACAUAGAGUUGGGAGAGGGCAGAUGUGCCCCAGGCCCAAAAUAUGUCCCAAUUUGUGCACAGGUCUCCACAGGACCUUCAAUUUUGACCAAGUGCUUGUUAUUUUAUUUUAUUUUUUUUCCAGGGAGCCUGGCACUGGGUUCCAAGACAAAAACACUGUUAGCUUUUCAUCCUUGCUCCCCAGAGUUUGAAAUCUUGCUCCUAGCUCUGCAGUUGGAGGUUGGAGAAGGGGUGUAGCAGUAGUCAGCCUCCUGACCUAAAGUAGUUAUAGUGGCUCAUGUCAUAGCUAUUGACUGGUCAUAGGGAUCAUGGGGAUCUGGCCAGUCCUUGGUUUCACUAUGGAAGGCCUGGAACUGUGCUUCAAGUCUAAGGCAUGGACUUAAUUCUCCCACCCUGAAUCGGGAGGCAUCUCUUUCCAUUUUGGACUCUUUGGAGUUGGGGGAGAGUUGGCACAGGCUCCCUGGGAUUCUUUCCUGCCUGCCUUUUUCAAUAGGUGUUUUUUUGUUUGUUUGUUAUGGUAUCUUAUCCAAUUUCCUUAGCUCCUAUGAAGGUACUUUGAUGUGUGACUAGCUGUUUAACUUAGUAUGUUUAUGGGGAGACAAUCCUAAAUGAUCUUACCCAACCACAUCUGCCUCCAGAGCACAUUCAUUUUUUUUUUAUAUUUCCAACUUUCUUAGGCAAAAAAUAACUAACUAUAUAAUGUCUUCCUUCAUCUAUUAUUGGCUAAUUGAGUUUUUUUUUUAAGGGAUUCAGCUUGAAAUUUUCCUCACUACUAUAAGGUGACAUAUGAACAGAGACAUGAAUGAAGUAAAGGAGAAAGCUCUGGAUAUCUAAGGGAAGAGUGAUUUAGGCAGAAUAGCAAGUAUAAGGGCUCUGAUAUAUGAGAAUUCCUGGGAUAUUUGAGAAAGAACAGAAACCACUAUGGUUGGAAUAGUUUGGUCAAGAGGACAGGUAUAAGAGCUGAGGCCAGAGAGAAAGUUUUGUUUUGUUGGGACAGGGAGUCACUGAAGGGUUUGAGCUGAGGAAUGAUAUAAUCUGAUUUAUGACUUAAAAAGGUAUUUCUGUCUGCUGUGUUUAAAAAAGAAUGUAGGAGAGGCAAGGAGGGAGUGGGGAAAUGCUGAUGAGUGAUAUUGGCCAAAUUAUAUUGUUAUAUUGUGUGCAUGUACACAUAUGUAACAGUAAGUCCCAUCAAUAUGUACAACUAUAAUGCACCAUAAAAAUGUGGAAAAAAUUUAAAAAAUCCAUUUUGCCAAAAAAUAUGUAUGUAUAAAGCAAAAAUUUAAGGAACUAUAACACAUUCCUUAUUAAUAAUAGAAAGCUAAUAAAAUUCUCUCAGAGUUCAGUGAUCAAUAUAAAUCUGAAAUGUCAAGGCUGUAGACGAAUUGAAUCACACAAUAAAUUGUGUUGGUCCAAUAGAUAAUAGGUAGAAUUUUGUACUACAGAGCAUAAUACACAUUAUUGUCAUGUGUAGACAGAAGAAUCAUUAAAAGACAAAAGAAUAUGGGAUGGCAAAGGUGACAGCAUGUAGACUAGUAGGAGAUUAUUGCAAUAGUGUAGGGGGCAGAUGUUGGUGGCUUUGAUCAGUGUGGGAACACUGGGGGUGGUGAGGAGUGAUGCGAUUUUUGCAUAUAAUUUGAUGUUAAAGUGCAUAGGAUUACUGAUGGAUUAGAUUGUGGAAUUAGAAGAGAAGAAUGAAUGAUGAUUCCAAGAAUUUGGACCUGAAUGAUUGGAAAGGUGGGCUAAACAUUGCAGGAGAAGCAGAUUGAGGGUGGUAGAUAAGAUCAGGAAUUCAGUUUUGGUAAGUUUGCGCUCUGUCACAUCCAAAAGGAGAUGUUGCUUAGAGGUCUAGUGAAGAAAGUGUUUUCAGGAGUGCAAUAGCAUCAGAUACUAAUGAUGAGUCAUGAGAGAUGACCCAGGGUUGACCUUUGGAUUUAUUAAAAUGGAGAUGAAAGGUGACAUUGACAAGUGUUGUUUUGGUGAAAUUACAGGAAAGCCUGAUUAGAGUGAUAUCAAACCAGAAUGAAAGGAAGUGGGGAUAGUAAUUACUUCAUAUAGUUCUGCUAACAAAGGGGAACAGAGAAAUGGGGACUGUAGUUGAAAAGAAAUGAAGAGUCAAGGAACAUUUUAAAAGUUACUGUUAUUUCAGUUUAUUUUUAUGCUAAUGGGAAUAAUUGAAUGGAAAAGAAAAAGAAUUGAUAAUGAAACAAGGUCUUUGAGUAGGUAAGAGGCUAGAUACCUGCUCAAGUACAGGAGCUGGCUUUUUUUUUUUUCUUAAUAACUUGGUGGGAUUUUUAUUGUGAGAAGUCCAGUUUGAAAGAGACACCAGCGAACACUUUUCUAGUGUAAGACCAAAUUUUAAGGGAAUUGUGUGAUCUAAUACUCCCAAAUUGGAAAAUUAGGUCUGCGAUUGCCUAAACCCACAGGUAAACCCCACUAUCCUUAGUUAUACUAACAGGAUAUAGGCUUCCAGGGCAGGAUAUCCUCCAGAAAGGGUCAUGGAGAAAAUGGUCAUGGAGAAAAAUGGACAAGGGAGAUUUCCUCAGUGUGUAAAAAUUGGGGCAUCCAUAGUGAUUGACCAAGAAAUUCACCCUGUAGUGAAUUUUUAAAAAUUAUUCCCAUGAAGGAGCUGGCUUUUGAUAGAAGCACAAAUAUUUGAUCCACAGUAACAGAAGGGAAGAUAGAAUAUAUGGAUACACUUCUGGGUUAAAUCUGCGGAUGCUGUGUUAGGAGCUUGUGGAAGUUGUCUUCUGAUUUUCCACAAAAUAGGAAGUAAUAUCAUCAGCUGAGAAAGGCUCUGAGAAAGAAGAAUGGGAAGGUUUAGGAAAAAGGAAUGUUUUACAUAGAAAUAUACUGUUUAGUAAAUAUGAACUAUUGCUAUAAAUUGUACUUAGUCUGUUUUUGAAAAUGUCAAGUUGGACGGGAUAGAAGGCUUUUAAAGUUCAAAGACAAUCAUCAUCUACUACAUGCAAAGACAGUGUUGCUCUGGUAAUUUUUUUCAAGGAUAUUUCUCUUUCAUGCUCUCAUGAAAGAGAGACAUCUAUUCAAGAAGUCUUACUAUAACAUGAUGUACAUUAAGAAUGCCUACUAUAUUUGUGUGUACAAACUGGUUUUGAAAAAGAGGAGAUAGAGAUUGAUUUUAACCAUCAAAGAUGAUUUUAUGGAUGAGAGAGCAUCUGAGUGAGGUCUGGAUUAAGGGAAGGUAGGUGUUCAGUUGACUUAUCAAUUGCUUUAUAUAUACUAGACAUGGGGCUAAGCAUUGUGCACACAUUGUUGUAAUUAAUUCUAAUACCCGUAGGAAGGUGAAGCUUAAAGAGGUUAAGUAAUUUGAUAAAAGUCAUACACAGCUGGUAAGUAGGUUUCAGACUCAGAUCUAGCUGACAACAACCCCUUUUUAAUAUAGAACAAUGGUUGUUGGGAGAAAGAGUGCUAUUGGAGAGAAUACUCCAGUACAAGGAGUUAAUAGGAACAAAGAAAAGCACAGAUGUGAGAAAACGUAGAGAAAGUGUGUGUGUGUGUGUGUGUGUGUGUGUGUGUUCACAGAAAGUAAUAGAAGGGAAAAAGUAAUUCAGAAUGACAUGGGCAGUGUGUGUGUGUGUGUGUGUGUGUGUGUGCAUUGGGAAAAGAUGGAACAUACAGUGGAAGAUAAAGCUGAAAUAUAGGCUGUAAGCGGAUCAUAGAAGAGAGGUUUCAAAUGUCAUGUUAAAUAAUCUGGACAUUAUGUUGCAGGAAGUCAUAAAUUUUGAGAUCGUUUUUCUGUACAAGAGAAUCAUAUCUACUAUGGAGCAUCUGGCCAGUAUUAUAACUCUUUGUUUUGUUUUACAGUUGUAGAUUCUUUCGCAAGACAAUAGGAAGUAAAAGUGGGAGACUGACAUUAAAUGUCAAAUGCAGUUAUCAAUUUCAUAUAAUAGUGUAUGAAUAUGUAAUUAUUUUAUUGAAUUAUUUUGUGUCAUGAAAUUAGGAACACUGGUAUAAAGUAGAUUAAUGUUAGCUUACUAUUUUUAGAAGGCCAUAUGUCAGAAAUUAAAAUUAUGUUUUUCAGAUACUGACCGAGCCUUAUCAUUAUUGGAAGAAUACUGCAAAAAAUUAAGAAAACCAGAGGAGCAGCUGUUGAAAAAUGCUGUUAAAAAGGUGAUGAGUAUAUUUAAGAGCAGCUUAUUCCAAGCUUUG